rnacentral:rRNA from 1 species
UCGAGAAUUUUUCUCAAUGGGGGAAACCCUGAAGGAGCGACGCCGCGUGGGGGAUGAAUGGCUUCGGCCCGUAAACCCCUGUCAUUUGCGAUCAAACCUUACGACCUAACACGUCGUAAGCUGAUAGUAGCGGAAGAGGAAGGGACGGCUAACUCUGUGCCAGCAGCCGCGGUAAUACAGAGGUCCCAAGCGUUGUUCGGAUUCACUGGGCGUAAAGGGUGCGUAGGCGGUCGGGUAAGUCUGACGUGAAAUCUUCGAGCCUAACUCGGAAACUGCGUCGGAUACUAUUCGGCUAGAGGAAUGGAGGGGAGACUGGAAUACUUGGUGUAGCAGUGAAAUGCGUAGAUAUCAAGAGGAGCACCUGAGGUGAAGACGGGUUGCUGGGCUGACACUGACGCUGAGGCGCGAAAGCCAGGGGAGCAAACGGGAUUAGAUACCCAUGUAGUCCCUGAGCGGGCUGGCAAGGCGCAU